GACGGCGGCCGAUAACGGGCAGGAAGAGCGGGCAUUCAGGGCCGCCGCCGCCAUGGCAGCGCAGGGUAGGCCUCAGCCCGCCUGCGCCGCGCGGAGCCCGCCGCCGUCCGUAAACAACGAGGGCCUGGGCGGCGGGAGCGCCCCGCUGAGGCGGGGAUAGGGGGAGUUUACCUGUGAAAUAACUGCCCUGUGCCCAGCGUUCGGAUCUCGGGAAAAUAGCACAUCCUUAAUGAUUAAUAGACAGACUGUUUGUUUGUGUGGCAACUUCAAAGGCCCUCCACGUUGUCUGUGUUGUGACACAGGCUGACAAGACCUGACAAAAAAGGCAUCAAAGUGAGGUUAAAGUCUCAGUAAAAACAGAGCCAGGUUAAAGCGCAGAGCUAAAUAAGUGCAGUUGGAAUGAAUUUGUUCUUCAGCUGUACGAAGGCCAUCAGCUUUUAUCUGGCAGGUAUCUAACAACUUGCUAUAGGAAAAGCCUGGAUGAGAGAGCUGUUGGGCCAUUAGGAACUGUUUAUUAUCAACAGGUUCGCUGGCAGGAUAGAAAUAUGGAUACAUGGAUUGAACCUUCUCAGAUCAACUGUUAAAUGGAACAAAUUUGAAGCCAGUUAGACCAUCAUCAGCAGCAUACUGCCUCUGCACUGCUACAAGACGAGUUUUCCAUGUCUGCACAAAGACCUCAGAAGCAGAGAGGUUUGCCCAUCACCACAAGGCGUCUUGAUCUCACAUGAAACUGACUAAAGGGUUCUCCAGCUUUUCAUCUUAACAAUAAACAUUAAGCACUGCAGCAUCACGUCUACCUGCAAACACCAAGACAACCCUAUUCCCUUCGGAUUUGAUUCCUUCAAAUUCCAACCCUUUGGUUUCACUAAGAAACACAGGAGGGAUAUGAGAGGUUGUUGCUGCUGCUGGAGAAUGUCCCGUGGAGGGCAUCUGCCACCUUUCCUUCCCCUGAGUGUCAUCCCUAAAACGCUCCUCAGCUGGAGGAGGAAAGAGGAAUGAAGAAUUUGACAUUAUUUGCAGGAGUGAAAUCUAAAUUAACUGUGACUAUCAGCUAUGAAGGCCUCCAUAUGCUAUGCUUACUCACAUGAUUCUACUUACGUAUGUAGUCCUGGGAAGAUGAGAUACACCAGCUGGUUUUGGCCAAACAGGGGACCUCUGUCCAAAUAAUGACAGCAAGACUAGAAUUACGUGUCUCAGCUAUCGUAUUUUCUUUAAUUCAAUAAUUUAAUCUAUCAAAAGGUGUAAGUCUGGAGGUAUCAACAGAUGUUAAUACAUGACUCACAACUCCAAACUGGUGACCGUUUGAGUCCCCUGAAUUAUUAACCAGGUUAUCGCUGCCUGUAAUAUUAUUAACUAUUGAUAUUACUGCACGUGCUGAUAAUUCAGCUUUAUACCUCUGGAAGCUCUUAGAUGUAUCUAUUCCAAAUGCUGUAUGAAAACUCAGGCCCCACAGUAGAGGCUUCAAGUUAAUCAAGUCUGUGGAACUAAGCUCAGCAAACCAAACAGACCAAAUCCACUCACUGCAACAUGGAGGCCAAGCCAGAGACAGUAAGUGAAGAAGUCAGCCUGGUGUAUCUCAAAGACUACAUCUGUCCUACCGCCAUCACUUUCUAUAGGGACAUUUUUAACACAGACUUUGGAUUUCCCAGUUCUGGCUAAGUGAGUGUUGAGCAGCUAACACCUGGGACAGAAGUGAUGAAAUAACACGAUAAGUUUCGGUGAAACUUGGAAACAGCCUCAUCUCACAAACAGCUAUUUCAUGAACACACAAUGCAAGGAGAGGCUUCUUGUAUCACUUCAGAAAGAAAACCUCUGGGAAACAUCUGUCUCUCAAUGUUCUCCCUUCUACAUACCAACUUCUAUAUCAACAAACUGCGUGGGUCAUGAGCUGCAAGCUUGGCCAAUCCACUGCUGAUUUUGUUCUCAUUUGAAAUCAAGUUUUGCUUUCAAGUUCAAGACGAGUUGAUUUUCUCUUCCUGCACACAGCUGCCAGCAGCUUCAUGACCUUUCUCAAGUGCUGCAAGUUUCCUGUGAGAAUUUCCUCUUCUCAAACUACUGAGAGCCUCCCAGCACGCCUGCCUUAUCCCCCUGCUUUUCUAUUUAAACUUUCACAAGUUUAAGACCAGAAAAAAAAAAAAAAAAAAGCAAAAUCAUCAUUUGUUUGGCCUCACCCUAUGAUGAGGAACGGGAGUUCUGCUUUGGCUUUGUUUUCCUCGUCAGUCCCGGUGCUGAGACAGGAAUAAGCAAAGCAGACAUGCAAAUCUGAGAGAGAACAGCAGUAGCAAGGUGCAUGAAGAUAGACAAGACAGCACAGCUCCCAAAGGUCCAGAGGAACUGAGUCAUAAACCAUAGAAAACUCCUGUGCUGUGCAUCCUCAGCAGCUGCCCCACCUCUGCAGUUCUGGGAUACUUCUUUCAGGAGCUCUGCUUAUCUCAGCUGCUUCUCCUAAGCUGCUGCCAAUAGAACUGAAUUUUGUCCUCUGGGUGUAGGUGCUUGGCUGCACCAUGCAGCAAGGGAAACUGUGAGGGAAUAGCGGCACUCUGCCAUCCCCAUAGCAGUGUGACAGCAGCAGCACCACAGACAUGCUUCCAGCCCGAAGUAUCAGGUGGCUUUAACCUGGGAUCAUUCUCGCAGUUCUACUACACAGCAUACAGGUUCAUACCUGGAAAAGUGGGAAGGAAGAAAGCCUGGGAAAUGCCCAAGUUAGAAACAGAAGAGAUUUUUAUUUCACUAAAGCACAAUCUGUUAGCUCUCAAUAAAAAUACCAUUUCUAGAGCUGGUCUCAAGGAAGCCUUUGACACCAACAUUGUGCUGAGCUGCCUCUGGCCAUCAGUUUGUCAUCUCAGGCAUUGGAUGGCUGCAGCGUAAAAAAUGGGAGGAGGCAGAUAGGAGAAGUUCUGCAAUGAAUUAUACAUCUUUCAGACAACACUCAGCUUGUUUAUUCUCAGACACAAUAUCUUUACAGUCUGUCCCACACAACCAAACCUAGGAUGCAUUUGCUUUCUGGUGUAUACGAUGCAGAAGAAUAAAACUAUUAGGGGCAAAAUUAACAACCACACAGUACGUUAAGGAGUAACCUUUGUGUGCUAACUAGAGCAAGAGCUCCACCUGAACUGAUGAAAGCUAGAGACCUCUCUAAUGUGAGAAGAAAACAUUUGUGUCCAGUGCUUAUGCAGAGUUCCAUCUAAAUUCUCAUUGUCUGUUGAAAUUGCAGUCGCAAAUUCAGUCUGUUACGGCUUCAGUGGCACCUGAAAGGCUUUCAUUGCUCUUUCAUGGCAGGGCAAUGCCCUGGGGUGGUUAGAAACACAGCCCAGUGACUGCAGUAUUAACCUGUGAGCUGAACCAGAAUGAGGUAAUUGCAUGAUACAAUUGCUUUUUGAGCCCCACAUCCAGCACCUUCUCAAUACAUCUAUUUCUUUUUUUCUGAUCUUCGAGGAAGCCAUUUGAAAGUGAUCUCAAGCACAACACGCAUUUCACACAGGGACAGACACACGAGGGAUGAUGUUUAGCAAACCUAUUCUUCCAUGGUCUAUGUGGAAUUGAGGAUUUGUCGCACACAUCUGAGAUGAUGCCUGCAGCACCGGCUCGAGUUGAAAAGGCCACCCUGGGUCAGCGUUACUGUUGUAUUAUAUCCUAAAGGGUAUGUCUCCAUGUUAAAGGAGUUUGGUCGUAAAAAAACCAAAGGACCACUCUUCCACAGCAACUCUGGACAACAACAAAGAGAACAGGCUCAAAACACAAGGGACUAUUUACAGGUACCUCUUGUACAAGCCAUUGCAUGUGCUGUGAGCGUUUGGCGUUUCUUCUGGUUUGCUGUGCUACAAUUAGACCAGAGAAAAGCAAAGCAAUCAAUGCCAGGCUCUGGAGAACUGGGCUGAAUUUACUCAUCGCAAUCACACUGAAGGAGCAGCUCUCAAUCUACAUGCAGUGCACAAACCAAGAGCUACCAAGAAGAUGCUCGCUGUGGAAGCACAGGAGACUCAGAGGUCCCUCAUGGAGCAUGUUAUUGGGAACAUGAUGCAAAACCCCCUACUCCAUCAGUGCCUCAACAAAGCGAAUCCUGAGAACACACUGACCCACAUUGCUCUUUCCAUACAGGCACUACCUUUAAUUACGCUCUGUGGAAGUUAACACGCAGCCGCCGGCUCUCACAGCAGCAGCAGUUGAUGCAGCAUCAUUAGCAGUUCUGGCAGCCCACUGAGAAAUAAUUACACACAUAAUGGAACCACAGUAGCGAUGACAGGCUCAGCACACAGCCGUGUAAUCAAGGGAACAUAUAGAUAAGAACAAUACCAGCAUGCAGUAACUCAGAGGGAAAUAACAAGUGUAUUACUGAAAUAGGUUUCAAGGAGUAGGAAGAGAACUGGGAUGGGAGGGGAUCAAGCUGGCAUUUCUUUUGAUUCAAGAUCGACAUCAGCUAUAAUCUAUAUGUUUAAGGUUGCGUCCAAUUCAAAUCCCAGUGGACCUCCCACCCACCCACAUACACUUCAUUUGCAGAACUGAUUUAGUUCAGUUCAGAACUCAACUUCAGGAGAAAUACUUUAACAUACCACGUUCCAUAACACUCAAAAAGUGUUCAAAAAGUGAAUCCUUCUUGGGCCAUUUCGGCAUUGAGAAGCAAAACAUUUAGGAGUGGUUCUGAUUGAGGCUCAGCCUCAAGUGGCUGAAUGCUAAUAGAAUUCGUGAUCCCUCUCUCACACCUCCAGUUGCCAUAAGUCGCUGAAACUGUAUGAACUAUGGAACACUGGAAUUUAUAUCUUAUAAGAGAUUUCAGAAGCAAUGGCAGUCUUUGGAAAAUGAAUGUUUUGAACACUUCAGAAGUUCUAUAUGGACAAACCAGUGUCAUCUCUUUAAUUUUUACACCUCCUGCCUUGUUGGCUGUGCUUGGUAGCAUGGGGGCAAGUUUUGGUUUCAGGGUGAGACGGCAUCGUAUACUAAAACCUGACAGUUCUGUUUCAUCCCAUUUACAGUGGAUGCUCCUAGGUAAACAGCAAAACACCACCGGCUUUUGCAGUAUUUUCCUUCCUUGGAAAAAAGGAACAGAAAAUAGUUCUGGCUUUUUGGAUCCAGCUACACCUGCAGUCCUCUGGAGAAAGAUUCUGAUUUACUGCUGUCUUUCCGAACCCCCUGCCCCUCUCCCCAAGAAAAGUUGCAUGUGCUUCAUUGCCAUGUAUCUGAAUUUCUAAACACCUAACUUACACAGAACAAAUACUUCUGUCACUUUUGGAGACAAAUCUUGACAGAGUUCUUCAGCUUCUUCAUUAUUCCUCUGUUGCCAUACAGUGUUUUAGGAAAAGCAUUACAGAGAAGCUAGUUAGGUUCAAUUCGCCUCUGGGAACAGCAAGAUUCCAGUUCAGCAAGUUGAGUGAAAUCCUGAUCCGCCACUCUCAGCUUUUGUGGAAGCAGGAAGGUGUGUGUAGGACUCUCGGUGUGCAGCAGAGGAGCACACAACCUGUGUCUGUGCACCAGCAUCCUGGCCUGGCGCAUCCAUCUCUGCACGGGGGCUUCAUCAGGUCAGACCUCUGCACAGAGCUCUGUCUGACAGAAGGAUUUGUCUACUACUGCAAGCGGUGGAGAUGGUAACCAGGAGAACUGUAGCAUGGGUUCAGUGGAAGCUCAUAUAAAACACAAUUAAAAUGUUCACGUGGAGCCAGAUGCAAUCCGUGGUCAAGUCCUUCAUAAGGAAAUGAAUUUGCUUGGGUUCUUGAAGCUGUGCCAAGCAGACGCACAUGCCUAUGACACUAUGCAAAGGUUUGCAGCAGUACUUCCAACCCCAUUCCGUUCUUGCUUGCCAUCAGGACAAGCCAAGUGCCUUCUGAAAGGUGGGGAGGAAGCAGCAGGGGGUUGUUCUGUUUUUCAUCUUUCUUCUUUUUUUUUUUUUUUUUUUCCACCGUGACAAAUGAAAACCUUCAGCAGCACACACAAAUAACUGUCCCAGCAGUGCGGUUUCUGUGCUUCAGAUCAUUUCCUGCUCGCUGCCUUAGCCCGUUAAUUUCUCUGCGCUGUUGCUGAGGUGCUCACAACAAAGUGGGGAUUUGGUCAAACACCAAACAGAGUUCCAGUAAGCUGUCAGGAAUAAAACACCCAGACAGUACAGCACAACUUGUUUUCAAGUAAUAUAGUGGACUGCUUAGACCAGCAUUAAGCUACUUCAGGGCUUUUGUCGUACUGUUCAAAAGCAGAUACCACUGUAGAGUCUCUAGAGUGGAACAUACUGUACCAGAGCAUCAGUCUUACUGAGUUUCCCCCAAACCCCGAACACCACUUAGAAUCAAAUUAUGCUCAGUUAAAAUCGUAGCAGUUUUUCUGGGUUUAUGUUGCUGUAGCUCUGAAACGUAGUAUAGCCCUUCAGAAAACAGCUUCGUUUACAUGGCACCAAGACUAAGCACAACAGCUUUCCAAAAGCAUCUUUGAUAUACCAAAUUUACCCAUUGUUUCCUACCAUAGAGAAUAAGUUACUUGUACACGUGGCUCUUGCCAACCUGCAGGAAAGAGUUCAACAGUAUUUCUUUUUAUAUGCCUUUGAUCUAUACACCAACAACACGCUUUCUUGAUGAGUUACCACGUAGUACAGGAGGAGGCCCAUGUAGCUUAUUGAGUCUCACCGCUGUACUUAUCAGCUAUACAUAUAGGCAUAUAUAUAAUGCUAUAAUCUUUAAAAAUGCUUUUUAACUGAACAAAUCUUUUUGCAUUACCUUCAGAAGGUUGAAUCCCUUCUGUGCUUAAAAAAAAAACCACCACCACAUUGUGUCCUUUCAGAAGAGUGAAACUGAGAUCUUUUCUGGUGGAGAGUCUUGGGAGGAAGAAAUGAAAGAAGAGGAAGAAACAAUUGCUUGCUUAGUUUAUAUUAUUGAAUGUUUGUCUAAAAAAGUAACUUUUUUAGCAUUAAAGUCAGCAAAGACCCAGGUAGAAAUGCCUGAGAUCACUGCCCCGCUGAACUGAAAAAUAAGGGUUGCAUGAAAUAUAAUUCCCCAACCUUACAUGGUAUCUGACAGGUCUUCACAGCAACGUUAAUUCAAGAGUAUCUUGUACUACAGCGCCUGUUCUCUCCUCCACACAUCCAAAUCAAUGACAUACAUUGACUUACAGGCUGCACACUUUGCAUUGACAAGCCCCAGGGAACCGCUUAUAGCCAGUGAUGUGCCGUACCCUCAGUAGGCCUCAGGUCCUUUCACUCCUUCUCCCCACUUCCUGAGGCUCUUCCUCCCGCCUGCAUUUCCCCUCUGAGGACAAACUACGCUCUUUGAGGGCACUGCAAUGAAAGACACCGAUAUUACCCAUCUUGAGUAGGAAAGCCCAUACACAUGGGGCACAUUUUCCACCUGUGCUGGACUUUGAAAAAAGACGAUUUCAGCAGGUCUGAGAGGUUCUAGACCUGACACCAUCUCAGGGACAGCAAAUCCCCCAAAUAAGUAAAUAAAACGUAGCAAGCGUGUCGGAUUGUAUCAUAUUUAAAACAAAGUCUUGAACUUGUAAAUGCAUCAUUGGGUAAUUCCAGCUGAGCAGAGCUGGGGAGCCCAGCCCAAGCAGCAGCUGACAGCACUGUGAGCUGUAAGGCCAGGCCUGCUCACUCGGGACUUCAGAUGUCCUUGAUAUGGCAUUUUAAAUAGCUCAAGGAAACAUUCCUGAAUGCCUGCACUAACACGUGGAUAUCCCAUCUGUUAUCGCUGCAGUUGUAAGUCUUACCAGCAGGUGCCACUACAGUCAAGUUGUUAGAAAACACACAGUAGAGUCAUUAAUGAAAACUCCUCGUUAAUUAGCACACCUUAGACAUCUGUCUUAGACAUAGCACCUACCAGAAACUCUACAAAAUCACCUAAAUUGCCAACUGGUCAUUGGAAUAAAAUCCCCCAAAUCCCGCAGCAUUGCCAUCCCUCCCAGAGACUGGGGCAUUCUCCAGAGUAGCGCAGGAACAAAACCACAGCAUUGCAAAUAGUGAAGGCUGUGUGUGGCAGAUGCUGGGCUCUUCCUCUAAUCAACGUUGGAGGACGCUCAGUGGACAACACAGGACGCUGUAGAGCAUGAGGAAGCAGGGACUGUGGUGGCAUCCCGCCACCUGUGCUCCCUGAGUCACGGGCAGCCUGCUGGCACUGAGGCAGCCUGGUGUGUCUCAGCGUCUUUUCUUGUGGGGAGAGGGUGGAAGAACUGAUCUUAAUGCCUUAGCCUAUGCUAGAGGCAGUCAGUGGGCAAUAGAGGAAGCCCUGCUGCAACAAUAUGUCUGCCUGCUGCCAGCUGUGCUCCUGAGGAGUCUGAUAAGGCCCCAAACAUGGUGCUGAGGCCUAGCAGCUGUGGGCUGUGACUUAUCCGAGGAGCAGCUCGGCACAGCAGUGAGCCAGGCUUCACCACACCCUGCAGCGGCAGAGAGCCUUUACUUCACUUUUUAGAAGAGAAAUACUGUUUCAAAGGACGUGUAAAGACACCAGGAGAGAUGAGCUGCGGAUCCAGUGCUGUAACAAGACAAACGAUAUGGAAUCAGACCUUCAAAUCAUAAAACAAUUAACACAUUGCCACUUCUGAAGACGGUUCCACAAACAGAGACAUUUAAGGAGACUGCAGACCAUGCCUGUGCCAAAAAGUGCUGAUGCUGAUGCAACAGGUGCCCAGCACUCCCCACUGGUUAAGCAACUGGUGGAUUAGGCCCAGCAUUCAGUUGAACAAAUUGCACUGCUAGGCUCCUCUAAGCAGCAACCAACUUCGCUAACCCCCAUGGCUUUUGCCCUACCAGCAUCCAAAUGGACUUGGCCACGAUGGUAACACUUAACAUCCUGACUCUGAAUGCAUCAGUGAGAUUAUCUGCCCUACACAAUGCAUUUUUCUGUGCACUUAGAUUAAACGUAGGUAUACAGCAAAGGAACAUGUUGCCUCAUAUCAGGAAAUAAUGCAAACCACAGAACCAAGAUUUCCUUCUCUCUUUUUUCUUGCAGUCUUAGUAGCAGUUUUUUGGGGUCAGCUCCUAGAAAUAGAAUGGUGUCAGUCAGGGCCAGGUUUUAAUUUUUUUUUCUUCUAAAUACAGCUUAUUGCAUCUCAUCCCUUUCUUCUAGCACAAGAUGCUGCUUCCACAAGUAAAGCCUGAACAUUUGUGCUUUUUCUCUCAGCUCCUACUACACAGCACCCAAGGCUGAUGAGGAAAUGCAUGAAAAAUUUGCCUAGAUUAACACCACGCACCCCCCCGGGGGAUGUUAUUUUUACUUGAACACGAUCAAAGGCUGAGAUCAAGGAAAGAGCCAUUCAGUCACUGGAGAAAAAGGAAAGGGAUUCUUUAAUAAAGUCACAGAAGAAUGAAUGGAACCAGUGUAGAAAUAUAACUAAUGUGCAGCAACUGCACAUUUAACAAAAGGAAGGGGAAGCAGCAGCUGCAGAUCCCUCCUCCUUUACUCCAGUGACUACUGGUGUUCGAUAGCACUCUGCCGUCAUCACUUGAGAUUUUAAUUGCUUCUGCUGUAACACAGCUAUUUGUGUAUGCUCAGUAUGAACCUGGGGGCAAGUUUCCUGUGAUAUCACCUGUGUUGUUUGCUGGGAUAUUUAUCCUAAGUAUGAAAAACUCCUUUUAAAAAGUCUAAGCCUGCAGGCCUCGCACAGCUGAAGCUUCAGUGUGGGAUGAGAACUGAGGGAUUAGAUCCUCUAAUCAAAACCUCUUUAUUGCCACAGGCUACUUUGUGUUCCCGCAUGGAAUUUCUACAGGCAAAGUCUCCAUAAAUGUAACAGAAACGUGGGUAUGCAUCGGACCUCCAGGUAUCAUCCAACCACACCCCUGCAACGAGGCAUCAUCGUGUAAGCCUCGGCCAACAUUACUGAGAUCCUUCAAUAAAACACUUCAGUGAAGAACCCAAGAAUUUUGUGAACUAUUUCAGACUCAUAAACUAUGAAAUCAUCUUCACUGCCUCCUCUGAACCGGUUUGAGCCAUUACUGUAACAGCAGUGAGCUCGAGACAUCAUUUUCCACUCCUGUGUGGUCUUGUGGGAGGCUCUCAGAGCAUCAUUAAAGCUGAGACAAUCUUGAUGUCUUCAUCCUUAUCAACCAAGCAGAUGACCUCAUUCAAGGAAAUGGUUUGGACAGGUUUGCUCUCUGCAAGUCUGUGAUAGCAAUUUGUUUUGUUUUAAGCCAAAUUACCUACCUUACAGGCGCUUAUAAUCACAUUUUAAUAACGUCAGCAUCUCCCAAGGAUCACAGGUCAUAGAACAUCCCGAGCUGGAAAAGACCUGCAAUGCUCAUUUGGCUCCUGGCUCCAUACAGCUCCACCUAAAAGUCAGACCUGAGAGUGUUGUCCAGACUCUCCUUGAGCUCUGGCAAGCUGAAUGCCACGACCACUGCCUCAGGGAGUCUGCUCCAGUGCUGAUGUGCCCAUAGCUCCUCCAGGCUCCUUUUUUCGAGCCUCUUCUCAUUGGUGAUGGAGACUGUGUUACCAAAAUCCAGUGGUACAGACAGAGCUCUGAUCAACUGUCCGUGUUCAAAAUCACAUAUUUUUGAAGCCCACCAAACACGUCACGAGAUAAAGAGGCAGUGAAGCUAUAAUCACAUUCAUAUUGUGAGAGUGUUGAGAUGCCUUAGAGAAGCCUCUUUAGGGAAUGGGGGGGAAAUGAAUGAGCUCCAGAAGUCUCCUCUAACCUUAAUCAUGCUAUGGUUCUGCAGUUGUUGGCUUUGUGGGAUAUCAGGCACUAAAAUGAUCCUCUCCAAUGCCUGUAGAGACUUUAGAACUGAAGUGUAGCAUUCUAUCUUUGCUUACACUGAGGAAAAAGCUAAAAUUCUGGACACAGAAGCUAGCACUCAGAAAUCAGGAGCUGCUGUUAACAGGUUACCCUUUUUAAGUACAGGCAUUAAAUAGGUGUUAAAACACACACACCUUAUUCCAGGGCUUCAGGACACAAGAAGUGGCACAGACCAACCAGGCCCGUGGCACAGCAGGGAGGAGCAGCCGCCAUCUUAACAACGGUACCUCACAGGGGGCAGAGCGGCCCUUUCCAACUCCUCUGGCCCAUCCCCAGGUUGGUGCAGCCAUUUCUUAACUCUCUAUCUAAAGAUUGCUGUCAUUGCUGCCUCAUUACUGUUCUGUUACAAUUUCUCUCUCCCUAGAGAGAGAAAUCCCCUUUCUUGGUCCCGCUUUGCCAGUUAUUAUCUUCUAUAUCCCAUAGAUCAUCAUCUCAUGAAUUCCAUUACUGUCCCUUGAAAAUGUCUUUUUCUUCUUCCAUUUUAAACAAGAUUUUACACACUCAGGAAUAGGGAAUCAUACACGUCUUCCCCUAAUUGCCUCACUGUAGUUAGCAGAGUGUAACCCCUCCAUUGUAAGCAAUACCGCUGUUCCCACAGACUGCAUUUUUCCUCUUCGUUGACUCCAGCUAUUUUACAAGUUUCCCAUGACACAGCACAAUAUUGGGCAUUGUAUCUGCAGUGGAACUGCCCCACGACUUGCUUGGGCAGCCGCCUUUUCUGGGUCAUUUCACAGCAAAUGGUUACUUGCUCAUUAACACACAGCCCCAUGGCCGAGGCUCCAGCAUUCUCUGGGGCAUUUCGUACAUCUGCAUUUUUAAAUUCUAUUCUACAUGCUGCAGUAAAGGCUUGAGUAUUUGUACCAUUGCGCCUUGAGUUUUGGCAGGUAGGUAUCUUGUUUAAAGCAAACAGCAUUACGUCAAACUGCAGGGAUCUCGACAUGGUGGAACUCUCAGCUGCAGGGAACCAACAGUACAGCAGCACACAAUCAGUAUUUAACUCACAACAACUAACUAUGGUGAGGCAUAGAUCAUCUGGAACCUGAAUCCAAUGACUGUAACACAAGUUACCUUAGCAGAGAUUUUCAAAAUAGCUCCUGACUGUAGAGGUUUGGAGACAUUCUGUGAUUCAAAUGAGGGUUGCCAAAACAUAUUCCAGACUCUGCCUUGAAUAAAGCAGAACAUCUCAGCUGCUGCAAGCUCAGUAACGCUGGAAUUCUAUCGUUUGGUCCAGAAUGCAUCUUUUAUAUACUUAAUUUUAUCUCUCUCUCUAUAGAUACAUUAAAGAGACAGACUCCAGAGCUCACAUAUACGAUCUGUAGCAUAGAAGUGCCUCUAAACUCUGAGUCAAAAUCCUUCUCUGUGUACAAAGCCACAUGAAUCUCCUUAUCCCCCCAAACAUAUAACUAUAACACAUAGCACACAGAGGAAAUACUGUCCUAUGGAAGAAGAGCAAUUGAGGUGUCAGCAGAAAAGCAUGGAACUCCGUACUAAGUACAGAGGCACUGAAUAUCAUUGGGAAUUAGGUAUGUAAUGGUACCUAAGCACCACUGUGAACCCAAGUGUAAGCUCAUUCACUUUCUUUUCUAAAGCUCAUAAAGCAUCUUCAACAUGCAUGAAACUCAUGGCCAUCAGCGAGAAUCCUUAAUGUGGGCACAAGGGACAGGAACACUGCAGGCUCACUGCACACUGCCCUGUGCUUGGAUCACACACAAAAUGAAUGCAUGGCCUAUAUUUGCCUGUUCUCAUAUCAAGUGAGAGUAUGUCUCAGUGACAGAUCAUAAUUCUUAAGUAACAAAAUUACUUUGAAAUUUUUAUUGCAAGUGUUUGAUUUACAGGACGAAUCAGCACUCAUUAAUAACAGCAGCUGAGAAGAACUCAACAGUAGGGUUCUUUCAUAGAUAUUCUUGGACAAAAUUACUGGAAUUCAUAUACUGAACUUUGUUGCUGUAAUAAGAAAAAGCUGCCCAUCAUUUUAAUUUCUCAGACUUGAGAAUCUCUUUAAAAGAAAAAUGAAGUAUUUUGAGAUCUUCACUAAAAAACAAACUUAUUUCAUCGCUUUCGUAACCAUAGAUUUGCAAACCAUGAUUUGGAAAGCAUGGAUCUCCUGCAACCCUUCCAUAAUGCCAUUCCAAAAGGUUUCUUGAUUACUUAUCUUUGUGUUGAUCAUUUGAACUUGGUCAAGUUGUACUUCCUUUUGGCUCCCUUAUAUUUCACUUCUAGGGUUGGUUAUAUUCCGUAGAGCGUUUCAAUCAUUCUCCUAGAAACCCUCAAAGCAAUAUAGACGCCCGAUCAGAAACAAAGCCAAUGAUUUCCUGAACCUUCCUCCUCACAUUUCCCACCCAAAUAGAGUUCUACUGGAACACUCCCUUAUUCUUUAGAAGACCAAAACUUCAACCAGCAAAUUCAGCAAUCUAAAAGUAACUUAAAAACUUUAAAAUAAAGACAUCGCUGACCAUUUUAAGUCCUUUCCUUAGUUUUGUAUAGCUGAUUCUCGUCGUUGUUUAAGGCAGCAGGUACAGAAACCCACCUCAGCUGUGACAAAGCAGGCUGACAAGCAAAGGUGCUGCCUGCUGCACAUGGGAUAUCCAACGUGCUCACCCAGACAGUAAUUGGGGAACACUCACCCGGCAGUAGGGGAAAGUCAAGCAAGAUUUGCCCUGCUGGGACAAGAGCUGAGAGGCACACAUUUCACAUCACCGUAUUCCAUUUGAGAACCACUGAAGUACACAAAUACAAAUUAAUUGAAAUUGCCAUCAAAUGGCAUCCUUCUAAAACUAGAGAAUGGCCACACAGCCAUCCUCUGCCUCUUCUGAAGCUACUUAAGACUACAAACAUCCUCCCAGGGAACAGGUCCAUGACACUGAACUGCCAUGUGGAAUAUCCCUCAUCUGAAUCUAGGAUGACUUUAAGACAGACCUCUUGGCUUCCCUCACUGCUCUACGUGAUGAGCAUCUAAAGCCUUGUUGUGAAAGGAACCCAUCACACAGAGACACUCUCCUGGUGUCUGCCCUGCCAGCCAUGGUGUGUGUGUGUAAUGACCUUUCAAUGUCACACACACGAAACCAGCAUCCAGUGGUAAGAAAAGACACAUCCUCACAUUAAUGUCACAUUUGCAGUGUUUGUUUUAAAAAGUGAUACUGAACUGUAUCAAAAAAGAACCUUUCAUAAGCAGGAAAGCAUGGAUGUGAAGAGGGGAAAAAAGCUAAUUAGUUAUCACUGAGACUUAAUAGAAGCUUCUGUCUCCAAAUGAACGUUUUCAAGAGAACAUGAAACCUACUCACAGCUCACAACAAUUACAUGCAGCAUGCGGCUGCCUCGUGAACCUCAGCACAGCUCCAAUCCAUCCUUGCAGCACUGCAGCAAAUUCUCCUCUGUGAGCAUCAGCUUGGGCAGCGAGAGCACGUCAGAAAAGAUGACUGAUGGAACUCCAUGCUUGGAGCAUUCUCACUCUUAUUCACUCUAAAGUAAACACUGAGUCCUUUCCAAAUUAUUACUGAGGAAAUUCCCUGUUCAAAGCCUUAACUUCCUUACCUCCACCAAACUCUGUACUAUGGAAACUCAGGAGCAGACAGAGCCCAAAGACUCCCAGCAGAUGUGUAAUUGCUGCCUUGUCCUGUGACUCCUCCUGCUCCAAGCUGCACCAGUCGUAAAGGCUACCAAGCUCCUUAUUCAGAAAGGAUCCAUCACUUGUGAGAAAUUGCUACUUAUUUAUUCAGUAUCUGUAUUUGAGAUAAUUAGCAAAUCAAUUUUAGUUUAAGAAAUGCCAUCAGAUAUCUUUUAUUGGUUAUUCACAGCAUGCUACAGGUGCUACGUUGCGCUCGUGUUAAUAGCAUUUGAAGAUACUGGAAUAUCCAUCACAUGCAACACUGUACAGAUGAGGCAUGCAAGUCCAGAGCAUAGAGAUUUUAAGUAUGCAAUUGAAAACAGCACAAGGCAUUCUGUUGCCUGCAGUGGCUACGAGCAGCAGCAUUCCCAGCCUCCAGUUUGAA